AGUGAAUAGAUACCCAGGUAGUCCCAGCUGUAAACGAUGCGCGUUAGGUGUAUCGGUGACCACGAGUCACCGAGGUGCCGAAGAGAAAUCGUGAAACGUGCCGCCUGGGAAGUACGGUCGCAAGGCUGAAACUUAAAGGAAUUGGCGGGGGAGCACCACAACAGGUGGAGCCUGCGGUUUAAUCGGACUCAACGCCGGGAAACUCACCAGAUAAGACAGCUGAAUGAUAGUCGGGCUGAAGACUCUACUUGACUAGCUGAGAGGAGGUGCAUGGCCGUCGUCAGUUCGUACUGUGAAGCAUCCUGUUAAGUCAGGCAACGAGCGAGACCCACGCCAACAGUUGCCAGCUCGUCCUCCGGGAUGGAGGGGACACUGUUGGGACCGCCUCUGCUAAAGAGGAGGAAGGAAUGGGCAACGGUAGGUCAGCAUGCCCCGAAUUAUCUGGGCUACACGCGGGCUACAAUGGGUGGGACAAUGGGUAUCGACACCGAAAGGUGAAGGCAAUCUCCUAAACCCAUCCUUAGUUCGGAUUGU
rnacentral:rRNA from 1 species